UCUUUUCUUCUGUUCUCCUCUCUGUCCUUAUUGUCCUCAGGUUCUCACCUUCUCAUUCCAAACAAUUUUUUUUUCCUGGUAGCAUGGAAAGUGAAAGAUACUGGAGGUAGGAAGACGAGGCUCUUGUGUCUCAUCUAUGGUGGUAUCUUCCUGGAGUGGAAUCUAGGGCGCGGCGGAAGCCAUACGCUUGAAAGAAGGGGAAGUGAAAGGCGGAGGACUUUUGGGUUUUAUUGGCCGAGAAGCAAGGGCACGGUGUCUCUCUAUGGAUUUGGUUCGGUCUCGGUGUGGAAGCCCGGGGAAUCAGCUUUGUGGAUAGUGGUUUUGUGGUUGUGGGAUUUUGAAAACCCUAGAUUUGGUUCAGGGUAGGGUUGUGUGGUUGACUGAUUAGGUUGGGAGCUGGGCUGCGCAUGCGAUUGACUGGGUUUUCAUGCCGUCAAAACCACUGCCUUGGGAUCGGAAGGACUUCUUCAAGGAGAGGAAGCACGAGAGGUCGGAGUCUUUAGGUUUGCUGCAAGAUAGAGGGACUCACAUCAAGUUUCUUGGGAGUUUGCUCGUUGGGAUCGGCAGAUUUUCGCCGCCCUACAGGACAGUUGGGAAUUCAUAGGAAGCUUUGUCCAGAGAUGGUUAUUAUCUUUUGGCAGAAACACUCAAAGAUGAGGGUGAGAAAAAGGUUGUUCAAGCAGUUUUAGUGAAACAUAUCUGGGUUAAACUAGUCAAAGAUAACUUGUACCAUCAGGACUCUCAAAACCUUGUUGUGGAGAGGCGUGAAGAGUGACCUAUGGCGCUUGUCACUUUGAAUGCUUUUGAUCUCAUCUUGACAUCUCAGGGUCUCAACCUCGGUACUCUCUUUGAAAAGCCAAUGGUACAUUGUAGCUUUGAUUGUUGUCAAGUUCAAUGAAAUAUUAAGAAUCUAAGUUUAUUUAUUUAUUUGUGUGUAAAGUUACAGCUUCUAAGUGAUAUAAUCAAGAAUAUCUUCAAGUGCCUAGGAUGAUCUUAGAUGCUUUACUUGUAGGUUCUAUUAUAUAAUAACUUAUGAGAUUACAGCUUGGUUUAUAUCUCAGAAAUAAUUUUUUCACCUCUCCUCCACCAACACCACAACAACAAAAAUUAAGGAGUAAUUGUUGUCUCUCGUAAGUCAUAACAUAAGAAUGCUUUUGAUCUCAUCUCGACAUCUCAGGGUCUCAACCUUGGUAUUCUCUUUGGAAAGCCAAUAGUACAUUGUAGCUUUGAUUGUUGUCAAGUUCAAUGAGAUAUUAAGAAUCCAAGUUUAUUUAUUUAUUUGUGUGUAAAGUUACAGCUCCUAAGUGAUAGAGUCAAGAAUAUCUUCAAGUGCCUAGGAUGAUCUUAGACGUCUUGAUCUCAAAAGCAUCUUACCUUUCACCAUUUAAUUGUUCAAAAGUCUAUACAGAUAAUUCUAUCACUGUGUUCUAAUCUUUACUUGUAGGUUUUAUUAUAUAAUAACUUAUGAGAUUACAGCUUGGUUUAUAUAUCAGAAAUAAUUUUUUCACCUCUCCUCCACCAACACCACAACAACAAAAGUUAAGGAGUAAUUGUUGUCUCUUGUAAGUCAUAACAUAUGUUGCUUCAAAGUUACAGCUAGAUAACUAAAUGAGCUUUAGUUGUUUAUUUAGCUAUGAUCUUAUCCUAAACUUCCUCAUAAAUAUGAAGCCUGCAUCUAACAUAUUCUUUGGUCACUAGUGCCUUAUUAAACAGGAGAAUAUUUACAUCGAAGCGUCCUACCAAUGAGAUUAUCUAAAAAAUUGAGAAAACUAUUAUGCCUUUGGUUUUUAAUGUAAAGAAAAAUAACUUCAAUGUCAAUAAGCACUAUCUUUUUCUAUUUAACAUGCAAUUUGCCAUAACUCUUCUUCUUUACACAACUUUCCUUAGUGAUUUAGAAAGAAAAUUUAUUAUUAAUCAAAUUCGAGGUGCAAGAUGAGAAUUUGUAGAGUGGAUGAAUUGGUGCAAGGAAUAUGAGUGUUGCAUGCAUUGAAUCUUGAUUGCUUUGCUUGUGACCUUUAUAUUAUCUUGAGCAGGCUUCCUCCUAAUUGCGAAGUUUGGAAGAUUGAAUAGAACCGAUGCACCUUAAUUAGACUUGGUUAUAGUUUUCUAACUUUCUAUUUGGUUUGCAAAUAAAAUCAACUCAGGAUUCUUGACUUCUCAUGUCCAAAAUUUUAAUCUGAUGAUAGUCUCCCAAUGAUUAGUUUAGUUUGUGGCUUGUCUAAAUCACAUAUAUACUUGUCAGAGUUAUGUGGAACUAAAUGCUUGGCAAAAUUACAAAAAUACUCUUGAGAUUUUCAUGGAAUUGAAUAGUUAGUGAUGCAUGUCUUGAUUUGUUUGACAAAGUCAUAUGGUAUUAUUAUGCUCUGCUAAAACCUUUGCAACCCACCUUAGAUGAAACUUGAAGGGGAGAAAUUUGGAUGCAAGGGUCAUUUAUCUAUUGCAAUAGAGGCAUUUCUCUCCUAGUUGCCUUGUUUGCAGGAUCCCCUGACCUUGAGUUCAUUGGAACAUUACCUGAAGAUGUCUCAACUGGAUGUCAAUAAUUUACUUGGACAAAUUUUUGAAGUGACCCUUUGCUAUACAUGGUCAAGCUUUGAAAAUCUGGGGGAGAUACUCUAGAAUUUCACAAGGUAUGUAUCUACUAUCUCAAUGCAAUUCUCAUAUUAAAUUAGAAUGAAUAUUGAAUUUUUAUCCCGGACAUAUUGGUUGCCAAUAUCUUGUUUGAUACCGAAGCCCUACCCUCUUUUAUGUAAAAAGCAUGUGUGAUAAAAUGUAGUGAUGUUUAUGCUAAAACAAGCUUCUACUACCUAUCUUUAAUUUAUUCCAAAAGUAAUUAGACCCCUAGAUAGGGGUCUCUUGGAUAUAAGGACCUUAAAUUCAAUGUAAGACCUGUAUUAAAUUGGCUCCUUAGGGAAUUGACACCCUGAACACAAUAUUAUUUUCCCAUGUUAGGAAAGUAGUCCAUUUUUCUCUAUAAAUUAUGAUUAAUAAAUUCAAUCAUUCACUAAAUUUGUCUUAUGUGCAAUUCUACAAGAACCUCUCAAUUGGGUUGAAAGAUAUUGUCUAGAAAUCAGGAGAUGAAGUAAAAGAGGAAGUGAAUAAUGGUUAGUGUGCAUUAUAACAUAGAUUAACGCAUUUUGCUUGAGUUUAAAUCAUUGUUCCUUUAAUGGCUUUUAAAUGGUGGUCAAUACUUGAAUUUAUAAAUCUAGCCAUGCAAUUGCAUAGAUAGAAAAAGAAAUCAUAUGUAGAACUUGAGAAUAUUAGAAUUUGUAUGGUUUUUGAGAAAAUUUAAACAAAAGAAAAUAAAAAUGAAACAAUUUGUCGUUUCCUAAAAAAUGAAAAAAAUUUCAUUGAUGAAAUCUUAUGCAAAAAUUUGUUUAGUCCUUUCUCUUAGGGUUUGGUUCUUGCAAAGUAAUACUUAAGUUAUAUAACAACAACAUGAAUAUUCUUUAUUCCCCUGCAUAAGGUUCAUCAGUUUCUCGAGGAAACUUCAUUCUUCAGUGACAUGCAAUAAUUGUUUUUGAAAGAUGGCUACUAUAAACAUAGAAUCAAUAUGAAAGUUUAUAUACAUGUCACUUAUAAUUAGUUGCCAUAUGCUCUAACCAUCCAUUCGUUAGUGCAUGCAUGUUGCCUAUUCUUGGUCUUCACAUUUUAUAGGCAUGGAGAUGAUACUACAUUUAGCUUGUGGUUGUCUACAUGGUUUUGGAAAUUAUGGAUACGCAUGUUUGAGGCCUUUUGGUUUUGUAUGUCGUGGAAGAUACAAUUCCACCAAUGGAUUAUGACAGUGUCUUUUAAUGCAUUGCGGCCGAUAUGUCAUGGCAGGAGAGAUUACAAAAAUACAUAAAGAGGUAAAUCUAUGUUAUCUGCUAAUAAAAAUAACACCUUUGUUUUGGUGGGAUUUGUGAACUAAAAGAAAUGUUAUUGACUCACUAACCUUCUACAUUUCAUACAAUGUGUCCAAGUUGGGGAAAGACCUCAUAAAGCUGACCUUGGUAAGCAGAAUGAUCUUUUUCUUGUAUGAUCCAGUCUAUAAACAUUUGGAUGUCUUUCUUGAAACAAAAAAAAUCAUCAACAAUUGAAAUCUUUUAAUUUUCCAAUCACUACAAAACUUUAAAACCUUAAAAUGUGUGUGCGAGAAUUGUUCCAUUAAGCAUCGGUUCUUUCAUUAGGAAUUAGAUCUGGCUUUUAUAGUAGAUAUAAAAGAGCUUUAGCUUUAUAAUACAUAGACAAUAAAAGGAAAAAUAAAAAGUAAAACAAAUUGAGUAAAUUGCAUAGGCUUAUGUGGCAAUUUUUUCAAACAGGAACUAACUAGGCCAAGUAUCUUGAACAUAUCAAUUAUUAAUUAUAAUCAAAAGUUUUGAGCUUAGAAUUUACGAAAUCCAGAAGCGUUUAAGUUAAGGAAGGUGCUACUUUUAAUGGUGCAUAUGGAUUCAUUUGAUCAGAAUGAUAGGUAAUUAUGUUCAUUAGUAGUGUGUUUGACACUAAUAUAUCCAUUGGAUUGUUCUUAUGAGAUCCUUAACUUUCUAAUUUAGAUGAUCAAGCCUCUUAACCAGCCUAUGGUAGAAUUCCACUCUUGAUUGAAGGAAAGGAAAACUGUUGGGUUGAAGAAAAUCCAUUGGAGUUUCAAUUUGAAAAUGUACUUGGAGAUUUGGUCUCUAAGGGGUAGAGUAUUUUCUAUGAUAAUGACUUCUCAUACUUCUACAUGUUUUUUCUUGGCUAAAUUUUAGUUCGUGCAUGUGUAUUAGGCCUACAAAUAUAUCUGAUAAACAAUUCUCAGGACAAUAUUUGAAAGUUUUGAUAUUCAAUCUAGUUGCAUAGAAACUCUUUUUUAGGUUCAAACCGGGGAAUUCUCAAUUCAAGUUUUUUUAUUUAUAGAGGUUUUUUUUUCUACCAAAUUUCUUUUGUGAGGGCAUAUGUAUAUAUAAAAUAAUUGUUGAUACUUUAUUUGAAAGUUUUGAAAUUCAAUCCAAAAGCAUAAAACUCUUUUAGUUAAACCUAGUAGUCUUUUUUUUUUUUUUUUCUUUAUGAGAAACAACAAAAUAAAAAAAGAAAGGACUAAUGGUUUCCAACAACAACACUACCGAGAUCUGCCACUUCAAAAACCCCAUUUCCAAUUUUUCGUAGCAUAAACCCUAAUUUCCUUGCGGAAAAAUAAAAAAGAAAGGACAGAAAAAAGAGUUAAAAGGAGCUUCAGCAAGGGCGUGUUUGGAUGUAAAGGUUUAGGAAGGACGGCGCUUGCAGGUGCCCUCGAUGGUGAUGAAGCAAACGGCGCAAAAAAAGAAGCAAGAUUAUGGCGAUUAUAACACCAAAUGUGAGCACAUCCACUUCCUUUUCAUUAAGCCUUUUAACCUUUUCAAGGCGUAUUUUUUUUCUAAACAGCAUUGCUUUCCAUCACUGCCACCACUCUGCUCACCCAUGGCAUCAGGAUGAGGAUAUAUACUAUAUAUAAAUCCCUUUUUUUAUAUUAGAAACAAAAAGAAAUGAUUAUUUGGUGGAAAAGUCUUUGGUUUGAAUCAUUGCAUAUAUGAAAGGUUUGGAAGACUCAAAUAGGAUGUUUCAGUAUUCACUUCCCCAAUAGGUAAGUUUUGUAAUUACUGAUUUGAAGCUUAAUACCUGAAGCUUAUUUGCACGUAUUAAUUGAGAUUAAUACAGUUUUAUUACAAACACCCUGCCAUGUUGGGUCUGCACUUAAAAGUCAUAAUCAGCCUCGAGAUGCUAAGCACGUUGCCUUUUCACUCAUCAUUUACCAAAUGAUUCCUUGGUUUUUACAAAGUAUACGUACCUAAAUUCUCGCGGACAGAUUUGUGUAAUUUCUUGAAUUCUAAGACAGGAAAUGGGGAUUUCCUGGGAAAUCAUGACAAAUUAUGUGUACAGAUUCCUCGUGAAUUUGCUGGGACUUUCGUUUUCUAAGACAUGAAUCUGGAUAUGGCAUUGCAGCUGUUCUUGGAAACUUACUGAAUGCUUGUUCAGCUAUGAGUUCUCCACUAG